AACGGCCAUACCAUGCUGAAUAUACCGGUUCUCGUUAGAUCACCGAAGUCAAGCAUCAUUGGGCGCGGUCAGUACUUGGGUGGGUGCCGUU
rnacentral:rRNA from 1 species